UUUUCCAGUCAUGGGGCUCCCAGAUGGCAUUCCCAUUAGACACUAUAACAGGACAAGCCAGGGAGCUGACAGCCUUCCAGUCACUGUCUAAAAGAGCAUCCUUCACAACUGACGCCCAUCGUGACUGCAAUGGAUUUUUUAAAACUGCUGGCAAUGCCAAUUGCUGGCCAGUGGGAGGUUCCCCUGGUUGAGCCUGACGAUUUGAAAGGGUGGCAAGGUGGGCUAUUUUUUUCUGUAACAUAUUUGGUCUUUGUAUCUUGUUCUGUGAUCGCUUGUCCCUGCUACAAUAGACAACAGGAAGGUCUGGCUCUGAGUCGUCAGAAUCUGAACUUGGUGGGAGUGGGCAGCGCAGCGCUACCGUGGUGGAGUGGGAACUGGCAUUUUCAGGGCUCUGCUCUGGUGUUGUUUGGGUGGCUGCUUCUGCCAUUCCGCUAGCAUUGGGGUGCCCAGCCUCCCCAAGCCGCGCUGGGUUGUUCGCCGCCGCCGCACCGCCGCAGGUGGGUACCGCCGAGCCGCGCCUCUGCACAUGCACGCACCCGCGGCAGCUGCCGUGGCCGCUGCGGGGGAGCGAGGGGCCAGCGCCGCCUCGCUCCCUUCUCCGCCCUGGUCUUCGCCUUGAUCUCCGCCCCUGAGUUCCUCCUCCUGACUCAGCCCUGUUUCGUCACCAACUCCGCCUGCCUCCUCAGGUGUCUCCCCGCCUCCCGAGGGACCCAACGGGGCCCCUUCCGGGUUUGCCUCACUCUGCGGAACCGCCGAGCUGUUAACAUCUGCUGCUUGCGAGCACGCUUCCGCCCUGGCCAUGCAUCCGGUCUGUCCCGUGUCAGCCAGCCCCACUCCUGGCUCUGCGCUUCCCUCCAAACGAGCUACAAAAUCCCUGACAGAGAGACUGACUGGAGCUUUCUGCCCUCGCACUGGCCGCAUAUUACAAACAUUAAAGAAUUUUUCAACCCGAGAUGGCUUCUGAACUUCUGUCUGUUCUGAUGUGGGUUGCUCAAAUGCCUGAACCGCGGCUUCCGCUGCUUUUUUCUCCGCAAGCAUGCUUUGCAGGCUCUCUUUGAGAGAAUAUGAAAGAGCAGCCGCACUGAAGCUUGCAAAUCCCCAUCCAUGGUGAACUUUUCACCCUCUCUCUCUCUCCGCGGCUUACCUCCAACCUCUGCAGGUUGCUUCGCUCUCGCUUUUCUUCGGCAAGGCAGCACCCCGCUCCAGCUUCCCGGCCCCGGCCACGUCCACACCCACCGUUCAGGUCCUUUGUGAACGCUGAGGUCUUCCCACUGCUCCAACGGACUCUCGCAAACAAACAACAAUGCAAAGAGUCUUUUUCCUCCCGUUGGGAAACGGCCCAAUUCGGAGUUUGGAGACUUCUGCUCCGUUCCACCUGAUCCCCGUUCACAAAAAGUGAACUUGGGAUCCCGGCCCCGUCGCCA